CUUUAGCCCCGAUGGGAGGGAAAAUCCUUUUAUUUUUUUCUUUAAAAAAUAAAAGAUUUGGAAGGACAGCGGGAAUCCAU
rnacentral:sRNA from 1 species